rnacentral:rRNA from 1 species
AGAGUUUGAUCUGGCUCAGAAUCAACGCUGGCGGCGUGCCUAACACAUGCAAGUCGAACGCGGUUAUCCAGCAAUGGAUGACUGAGUGGCGAACGGGUGAGUAACACGUGGGUGACCUACCUUCGAGUGGGGGAUAACGUCCCGAAAGGGACGCUAAUACCGCAUGACAUCCUGCCUUUGAACAGGCGGUGAUCAAAGCCGGGGACCGUAAGGCCCGGCGCUUGAUGAGGGGCUCGCGUCUGAUUAGCUAGUUGGUGAGGUAACGACCCACCAAGGCGACGAUCAGUAUCCGGCCUGAGAGGGCGGACGGACACACUGGGACUGAGACACGGCCCAGACUCCUACGGGAGGCAGCAGUGGGGAAUUGUUCACAAUGGGCGCAAGCCUGAUGACGCAACGCCGCGUGGAGGAUGAAGGUCUUCGGAUUGUAAACUCCUGUUGCCCGGGACGAAAAGCUCUGACCUAACACGUCGGAGUCUGACGGUACCGGGUGAGGAAGCCCCGGCUAACUCUGUGCCAGCAGCCGCGGUA